rnacentral:rRNA from 1 species
UACGUAGGGGGCGAGCGUUGUCCGGAUUUACUGGGCGUAAAGCGCGUGUAGGCGGAAGCCUAAGUCCGAUCUGAAAGCCCCUGGCUCAACCAGGGAUCCGGACCGGAAACUGGGCUUCUUGAGGACGGCAGGGGAGUGUGGAAUUCCUGGUGUAGCGGUGAAAUGCGUAGAUAUCGGGAGGAACACCUGUGGCGAAAGCGGCGCACUGGACCAUAACUGACGCUGAGGCGCGAAAGCUAGGGGGAGCAAACAGG